AUCGGGCAUUUAGGGCAUUCAGCUCAGUAUCGUAUGCAACGGUCUGUGGCAGCUCUGUAUUACAACUAACCCUUUUGCGAUUAGCACAUCAUGUCCAAAGUAGGCCUGUAAAUUCAAUUUUUCUCCUAUAUCUGACUGGAGCAGAGCCACGGAAUUAGUAAGUCAGGGAAGGUCGUAGGGCCGCAUCUACAGAAACUAUGACAAUCCAGAUUAAAACAAUAUUCCAGUCCACACCAUGUAUUAACAAACAGCCACAGUAAAUUUUCGCAUUAAUAUCAGAGUAAGGGCACAGGAGAUCUACUACGGUAAACCAGUAGUAGGUCUUUAGCUAGGAUCAAGCCAUAAUAUCCAUUAUAGAACAUGACCUUUGUCUAUACACCCAUCCAUCCUACAAGACAGAUGUCAUAUUUUUGCACCGGCAAAGUCAACCCGGAAAAUACAUUCUGGACGAGGUAAUAAAUACACCGCGGGUAUACAGCACAUGUUUUUAUAUGUAUUAGAUUUAGGAUUCUUAAUGCAUAACGCGCUUUAUCACUUAAUUGCAGGUAGGUGUGGGAAUCCAGGAUCGGUUAAGUCCAACAACUUACCUAGCUCUCGGGAAGAAGACACACAGGUGCAUUGUUCAGAAACCAGACCCAGGAUAUUACAGUGAAAUCCGCGGAUUUCCUGGGAUAUACGCAAACGACGCCGUUUUAAAUAUAUUUCUUGCCUCCACCAAUGAAGCCAAAGCGGUCGGCUUCGAUCCACACCCAUUACUCGCUCGGAUCGGACACAAUGAGUUUUUCCUGUCCGCUCUUGGGAGGCUCCGUGUGGCAGCUUGCAGCUUCUGUGCAGUCCAUCACGUGAGGGGAGGACCUGUUCCUGGUAACUACUCAAGAUACCGUAAACCUGACAAGCGGUUUAAGGCAAAGCUCAAUAACUACAACCUAUAUAUGCAUAACAUUGACUGUGUAAAAACACAAUGGGUUGUGAACAAAAUUAGAAAACAAUAAUCACUUGAUUUUAUUCCAUAUAAUGUACAAGUAACAAUACACAAACUACACAAUCCAGGCUAUCAUCCCUUAUUCGUAAUAAUUAAUACAUAGUUAUUAUCGGAAUUAACCAGAUCUGUAUUUAUGAUUAAAGCCAAAUUCAAUGUUCAUCAUUUAAGGUCAACACAAUUAGAUUCGCCCUGUAUUGUAGCAUUGGUUAAUUAAAGCGUAUUUCCUAAUAAAUUAUGUGUUAAAGUUCACCGUAGCCUUUUUUUUAAAUUUGGGACCCUUACUCGACAUUCAUUACAAACGAUGGCACCUCGUAUCUAUCAGGCUUGACAUCGUAUCUAUCAGCAUUGACGUAAAUUUUCACCUUGUGAAGGCAUUGGUCUCGCUCAAAAUAGACUAUCUUUGACCUUCUGUAUCUCACAGAAAAUAGCACAUAUUUUAUUGUCUCUAACAUAUUUCAUAAUCCAUAUAUUAACAAAGAAAAUGAUAUAAAGUUUUGCUCCAAAUGUUUUUGCGGUGAGCUGUGGUAGAAGGUUAAAGAUUGCCUGUUUUUGUAAAAUUUCAAAAUUAAAUUCUGAAGUUUGUUAUUUUUAUCAUGUGGCAAGGAAAGGUACCUUGUGCACACGAAAUAUUCUUUCUCGAUUAACAAAGGGUUAUCAUGAUAAUUUUUUAAGAUAGAAAAGUUUUAUUUUCAUUUUUAUGGUUUCAACUUGUACAGUAUUCCUGUGGCAGGACAAUGCUG